GAGCUGCCCCUUCUCCCUCCCCACCUCUGGCUCCCUCCUGCCCUGUCCUCCCCUCAUCCUGCCCUCCUGGGCUGCCUUGCAGGUAAGGAAAAACUUUUACUACAUUUAAUAACCUUCUUUGUUCAUUGCUUGUGUUUAAACAGAACCUUUUGCUGGUUUAGUGUGUGAUCAAAAUACACUGAUUAUGAAAGAAGGGACUUUAGAAAGGGCUGCUGACAGUCCCAGGCACAGGGACUGGGAGUGGGAAGAGUGGAGGUGUGAGGAGAGGUACAUUAGAAAGUCUGUUCUUCCCCUUCCCAGCUCCCUUUUUGCCUGGGAUAGAGUAGGAUUUGCCAGCCCAGGAGCUUUUCAGACUGCAAUGAACCGGAGGUGUCUGAAAAUACAGGCUUUGCUGAGAGUUCACCUUGCCUUAGUGGGGGAACCACCACUCCUUCUGCACCCUGAUUGCAGGGAAACCUUGGUGGCCUUUCCAUUUAGUACAUGUCACUGUCCUGCCAGUGUCUUGUUGGGAUAUCUGGCCAGGAAUAAACGAGAGAAUGUCUGUUCCACACAGCCUGGGAGAGAUCUCUGGGACAUAGGCACGUCCUCCUCUCCAUGGUCAGCAAUCACACAGAGGUGUUGUCAUCAUGCUCAGUGCAUUCAUGGCAGGAGGGUCCCUGCAGCCACCAGUGCCAGUGGUGGCCACCUGCACAGCUCAUCACCAGGAGCCUGCCAGCUGGGCUCUGUGGCUCCAGUGGUAUAAAAACCAGGUAGAGAAGAGCUGCUUUUCCUGAACUGUGGGAUUGUUCAUGGUGUGGAGGAAAUGGAGAAGAAGAUGAGUCAUCAGAGAGGUCUUGGUCUGAGAUUUUUGGUGGAUGUUUUUCUAGACAGAAAUCUCAACUGGCAGCACUUUGUACCAGGAAGUUUCCUAGUUCCUAGUUAGGUAGGUAUUAGCUGUGAGGAUGCCUGCUCUGGUUUUGAUGUAUAGAUUAACUCAGAAUGUCUGGGCAUACAGUGGAGACUAGCAAAAUGUUUCCAGGAGUAUUUUCAGCUUUAAGAGAGCCUAACCCUGGGUAAGGACUUGAAGUGGUGUCAGCAGUAACAGCUGACCUUAAAUGGAUGAGAUUUGUUUUAAUUUCAAGUGUAGGUAAAGGUUUGUGUUUGAGCUCUGAGCUUUUGUCUUAAAGUUCAAAAGCCACUGAAGAGAUGUUGCAGUUUCAAACACAGGUUAUGGCUGAGAACACAUUGGAGAUUUAGAUAUUCUGCUUUCUUUUCUACUGGCUGCUCCAUAAAAUUUUAAAACUCUGCAUUGAAUUAUGCAUUGCUUUUCUGUCACAGUGUGCCUGUGCUAGUUAUUAUGUCCUGGGAAACUUGUCCCAGCAUGUGGUAGAGCAGAACUCAGAACAGGACUCAGAGUAAAGCACAAGACAUUUGUGUCACGAUAAAAGGCUAGAUUUGGGAAAUGAAAGAGUAACAGUGUGGGUUUGGGAUGAAGGCUUGCCUUUGGGUGAGGGAAGGAGGCUGUGGUGGAAGAAGACAAGAGUCUGUCCUAAUUGCUGGCUAAAAAGUCUCUCAAAGUAAUCCCCCCAAUUUGGUAUAUUGCAAGGAGUUUGCUUUAAGUUGUUGGAACUAUUGCUCAAGAAAUUGGGCUGUCUUAGCUUUUAGGUGUUACUUUUGUUCUAAUCUGCAGACAAAUGUGUUCUUUCACUUAGAGAAAGACUGUUUCUUAUUAGAAACUAGAUAAAGAAGGAAAAAGCCUCACCCAAUCACCUCUUGAUGACAUACAUGUGGCUACAGGUGCCACCAGGGAGAGAAGGGCAAUGGUGGGGCUGCUGGUAACCUUUUGGAAGGGUGGUGUCAAACUUGAGGUUUCAGCUCAGCUGUGUGAAGCUGGGAGAUGACAUUACCAGUGGAGACUGAGAGGGCCUUGCAGGCAGCCAUGCUGUACCAGAAGAGACCUGCAGCCCGUGUCCCCGUGUCUGACACUGCAGUGACACAUCCAGGAUGUAAGAGGAGGGAUGGAAAAGAGACCAGAUGUACGAGGAGAGUGCUGACACAUCUGCUCACCCACCACAGGGUCUCUUUUCCUCCUGAGAUGAGAAGCUUAAAUACUGAGAAUCUCUCCCGCCCUUUGUCACACAGACACAUCAGAACCUUCCUUUUCAGGAGUGCAUCCACAGCUCAGUUGUGUGCUCGAGGAGGUUCCAGCAGCUGCUGUGAGCCUGUAUGCUGGCUGGAGCUCCCAGCUUCCAGUUAUCUGCUGAGACAGAUUGGCUCAGUCAUCUGCAGUCUUUUCUCCAGGCACGUGUCCUGCAGGACAUCGGUGCCAAAUCUUCCAGAACGCUCUCUGGGAACCAGGGUAGAGUGGCCAGCUACAAACCUUCAAAAGAAUUAAAAACUGUGAAGAAAAAGGUGUGUUCAGAAUAGGGGGUGGUGGCAACUUAAACUCUGAAUAUCAUGCUUUAAUUACAGCAAAUAAACGAAACAAACAGCAGGAGUUCAUAUCCAGCUCUCUGUUACUGCCCUGCAUUUUGCCUAGACUGUAUGCAAUUUCUUCUGAGUGACCUUACCUGAGCACUCCCUACACUUUUGAAUUAAUCUUUAUUUACUUUGCUGCAAAGCUUUGUUCCUCCAUUUUUUUUCCUUUUCUGAAGCACUUGUCAGAAAAGCCUGCUAAGCUAAGCACCAAGCAUAGGAUUUAGUGAUGCUCCAGCCACUGAAAACAUCACGCUGCUGGGAGAAGAGAGAAAGAAUAAAGCCACUCUGCCUUUCCUUCUGCCCCUCUAAUCCAGGACUUCUACCAGAGGCAGAGUACCCUCUAAGAUAAUUUAGCCUUGGAAACUGGCUGUGUGGAGGAGCAAGGUGCUCACUUUGCCCUCCUUCACCAGGUGAUGUGCUGGGGUACGUGAUACUGCCCUGAAACCUGCAGAGAGAAGAGCCCCUGUGCAGAAGGGCAUACACACCUUUUAAAACUGUGAGAAGGUUCUUAAUCUGCCCUUUGUAUUUUCAUUGUCAUCUUUACAUUCCUGUCAGGCAAGAUAACCUUUUAUUAAAGGUGCCCUGAACUCCCUUCAGAUAUAUUUGAGUUAUACAUCCCUCUAAGCUCAGCUUGCACUUGUGUGGCCUUUGACAGGAAUAGGUGGGAAGCUGCAAAGAAUAGAAAAAGUAGUUUUUAACAUCUGAAACCUACUAUGGACUAGAAAGAUGGCAAUGCUGAACAAAGAAACCAGUGCAAGGAAAAGGAACAGGAGCACAGUUACUGUGUGGUGGGCUUCAGCCCUUUGGUGCUGGUGAAGUUUCUUCUACCCUAUUUCUUCUCCAGGGAAAUGGCUUCUUAUUCAAAGAGAUUCCAUCCUUCCUUUGUAUUUGCUGUAAAGUUCAGCACCCAGGACCCAAAUCUCUGUCCUUCAUGGUUCUGUGCCUCCAGUCUGGGAGUGGUGACUCCCAGCUCAAGCCUGGGCAGUGACUGGGAGCUACAUAGCAGCACCUGCUUCAGGAGGUUCAUUGGAAUAUCCUCUUUGUGCCCCACAGAUGGCUUCCCAAGGUACAUGGAAGCUAAAACCCACAACAAGGGGACAAACCCUACACCCAUCCAUAAACAAAUCUGACAACAUUAGGAGCAGUGAGGGGGCAUAAAAGUAAGGCUUUCCUUUUCUAAAUGUCUCUUCCCUGCCCUCCCAAAUCUAACAUUUCUUGUUUCCUCUUCCUUCCUUGGAACUGAGUCACACAGACACUGCUGUUAUGGUGCUGUAUUUAUUUACUGUUUAGGUCUAGUGCCCCCCCCCCGCCAGAGGAGGACUCUUUUCAAAC